rnacentral:rRNA from 1 species
CAGGAAACCGGUUAAUUAAGCUACAUAACGGAGGAAAGAACCAUUUGGAUGCCC